GAUGAAGAACGCAGCGAAAUGCGAUAAGUAAUGUGAAUUGCAGAAUUCAGUGAAUCAUCGAAUCUUUGAACGCACCUUGCACUCCUUGGUAUUCCGAGGAGUACGCCUGUUCGAGUGUUAUGAAGCUCUCAAAACGCAAUUGGCUUAAAACCUGAUUGUUGUUUUGGAUUUGAACUUUGCCGUGUUAUAACGGCUGGUUUUAAAAGUAUUAGCUGGUACUAGAACGAAUUGGUUCUACUCAACGUGAUAAUUAUCUGAUCGUUGAGGACAUUCCUUUCACGAGGAAUGGCCAUAGUAAAUUCAAUGGACUUCUUCUAAUCUGGCUUUAAUUCUUUAUUGGAUUAACCACUUUUCAAAUCUGACCUCGAAUCAGGUGGGACUACCCGCUGAACUUAAGCAUAUCAAUAAGCGGAGGA
rnacentral:misc_RNA from 1 species